GCCGGGCGCGGUGGCGGGCGCCUGUAGUCCCAGCUACUCGGAGGCUGAGGCGGGAGAAUGGCGUGAACCCGGGAGGUGGAGCUUGCAGUGAGCCGAGAUCGCGCCACUGACCUCCAGCCUGGGUGACAGAGUGAGACUCCGUCUCAA
rnacentral:SRP_RNA from 1 species